GUUGCCCUAAUUACUUAAAAGAAAACAAACAAAGAAAGAUAGAAACUUACCUGCGGCGUUGAGACGAGAGCACGGUGUGUGAGGGUGGAAACGUUUUGAGACAUUGACGAAAGAAAAGACAUUGGUGGAUUAGUUUGCUUGAUUGCGGUUCUUCGGUUGAGCGAGUGUUCCACAGACUUCGACUCGACCUCAGCUCUAGUCAGUCUCAAGAUCAUCGGAUUUCAGGGUGAGCUAUCCUUCUAGCUGCGUGAUGGAUUUUCUCGGUUAUGGCAUAGUGUCUUUAGUUUUCAGACACAUUUUAUUAUUUGUUCAUUUUGGUGCUUAAUGUUCCAGACUUAGUUUUAGAAUUUAGAUGUCCUUCAUGUGAUGACUUUCAGAUUUUGGGGAACG